ACGAUCAUGAGGGGGUGCCUUAAUAUAACGGGCUGAGAUCAUACCCAUCUACCUGAUCCGGGUAAUGCCGGCGUAGGGAACAUGAAAACGUCUAAA
rnacentral:ncRNA from 2 species